GCAAGGAAUUCUAGGCCACAGGCCAACUCAGAAGUCAGACAGGCCUGGGGUUGGCAUUAUAAGGUCUGUUUGUGAGGACAUGGCCAUUGCUCACUCAGUCCUGCUGAAAGGGGGCUAGGGCAGCGGCCAGGAACAGACCUUUUCUCAGCUGAGGUAGUGUUCGGGCCACAGGUAGGUCCCUAAUUGGGAUUGAAGCUGAGCUUUCUGUACCUUCUUGCUCCAGAUAGAUUUCAGUUGGUGUCCUUUGACAUCACUGCUGAAAGCCUCCUGUCACCUUCACAGCUUUGGGCUGUGCAUGAACAUAGUUUCCAUGGGGACCACCACUGUCUCUUGGUGUGGGACACACAUGUGCUUCUGCUCUAGGCUGGUGUUUCAAGAGUUAGCCAGCUAGCUUGUUUGUGUUUCUGUAUUCCUUUGUCCAGGGGCAGGGAGAUGUGUCCUCUUGUGACACAAAAAUAUUGAGAAAAACUAAAACAAAACAGAAAACCCCUAAGUUUCCUUUCACCUUCCCUUCUGCCCCUAUUUCCCUUUUCUCGUGCUCACCAGCCUGCCCUGUCUGCGCGGUGAGAGCUUCCAAUACCAAAGAGCCAGAGCGCCUCGGGUGAGGAAAUACAGCUGCUGCUUUUCUCAUCAGCGCAUGCUCAGAUUUCUGGUGUAGAGAGAUCCUUGACGAUGCUCGAGAAUAGGGCCGGAAAGUUCAGGCACAGACUCAUGAUUAUUUCAACAGUGGCUUCUCCGGGGUCCCUAGUCUAGCAAGAGUGCGUGCUUUAGCUGGAGAGCUUCCCUUCUCCACUUCCACCUCAAACGUGGAGGGCUUUUGUCUGUUUUUAAAAUAGGACGUUCUCCUUGCCGCUCGGAGGUAAGGUGGGGCAAAUUCUUCCAAGGUUUUGCAUUGCAGCUUUACAAAGCCCUAAAGCUCGUAGCUUCCCAUUCUUGUGAGCUUCCUGGGUUGGUGGACACUUACAAUUCGACUUCUUUGUUUCAAGGCUUUCACACAGAGCCCUGCUUACUUCCUCUGACUCAGGUGUACAGAUGCACCUCCCUGUGUGUCUUCCUUCUCUGCAGAGAAAAUCAGAUAAGACUGGGGGGGGGGGGCGGGGGGGGGGAGUUUGCAAGGCUGUGAUGGCCUGUAGCAAUGAAUGAGGAAGGGUUGUUGACACCCUUCAAGGGUUUCUAGAGGUCAGGGAAAGGCCUGGUUUGACGUUAUCUUAUCUUAGGAGGUUAAAAGGGAAGGGUGGUGCUGGCAUGAUUAGGAGGUUAGCCCGGUGUCAGACCUGAGUUCAAAUCUACAAAGGCCUGUAUGCCUUAUCUGUGGCCCGUUCCCAGAGUAAAACAGGACUAUUCACAGAGGCUCCCUGAAGGUUUCUGGUCUCUGUACAGCCAGAGUCUGCAGUUAACGGGCUAUUUCUGCCAGCUACUGAGACACUUAGUAAAUCACAAUGCCAGGAUAACUCAAUCUUGAUUUUGAUUUUAGUCUUUUGGUGUUGGUUUUAGGAGUGGGGGUUUUCCUCUGAAGCACAGCCUCUGACUUCACACUCAAGUGGUUCUCUUGCCUCAGCCUGAGCACAGGGACUGGAGCUAUGACAGCACACGCCCGGCUUUAAGGACUUCUUUUUUUUUUAAAGGAUGCUUUUUGUAGUUAUUGUUUCGAAUCAUGAACAAAUGAAUUUUAACUUCUAAAAUUUUCACAAGUAUUAUUUUAUCUAAGAUCAGUGCCACACCUGGUAUCAGAUAUCAAGUGAGUGUUCUGGGACCAGUCCCUUUCAGCCUUUCUGUCAAUUCUGACUACCCGGAACAACUUUUCCUACACGUCCUCCACAGGACACACCUUUCUGCUGGAGAAUUUUUUUUUUUUUACAUGACACAGUAGUGGAAUAUUUAUUGCCAAUAAUCACAUAAGACAUUUAUUCCAAGGGAAUUCUUUGGUAUACAUAUAAUUUUACCAUUUUGUUAAAGAUGAAAGCAAAUUUGCAUAGUCAUGAAAUGGACAAGACUGGUGUUUGGCUCAGUGGAAGGGAGAUUGCCCAGAAUGUUUUGGCUGUAGGUUCAAUCUCCAAGUGGAUGCACUUGGUUAGUCUUACAUUAAGAAUGAAGUUACAGCAGGGAUCAGAGUCUUCAACAGUUUUCAGAGCAGAUUGAUAAUUCUACUUUAUAACCAUCAAUGCUGAGAACACUGCUUUAUAUAGAUACGUAAGAUAAAGUAGCAAGAGGUUAGGGCCAUUUCAGAAAUGUCCCUGACCGAUAGAAAUUCUGUCCUAACCCCAAAUGACGUUGUAGAAAUCUUUAUUUUUAUUUUUAUAGUUGUGUGUGUAGUAGGCAAGUCUGUGAAGGUCAAAAGACAACUUUGCCGAGUUGGCUCCCUCCCACCUCGUGGAUUCUGAGAUGAGGCUCAAGUCCGCAGGCUUGCCAGCCACUGCACUUAGCACUGAGCCAUCUGGCAGGUCCUCAGUUCAUCUUUUUUUUUUUUUUUAAUGGAAAUCAAGUUAGCAACUCAAGCAGCAGUUUUUAAAACGAAACACAAUGUAAUCCAGAGAUAGCUAAUCUGAUGCAUGUUGAGCAUUGAUGACAAGAAAAAUACUGCAUUUUGUUUUCCAUAAUUAAUAUUAUGUUUCUAAAGGAGCAGAGCCCUUCAUGUGGGCAUGUGUGUACAUGUAUGUGCGAGCAUGUUUGUGCGCAUGUGCAUGUGAAUGAGUGUGUGCAUGUGUGUGCAUGUGUAUGUGUGGCGAAAACUUUAGAAGUUUUAACAGCAAUCUUGAGUUGCAUCUGGAGUGGUUUAGGCUUCAUUCUUUGUGAGUUUUCUUUUUACUAAAUGUUUUUGUUGGCUGUCCAAACCAAGGCUGCAGUGAAGUUUCACGAUGCAACAUGGUCAAGUGCUCCCACAAGCGCCUGAGAUUCAUUUGACAUUGAGUUUUAAUAAAUUUUUAAUUAUUUUAUGUUUUUAAAUGUUUUACUAUAAUACACACACACACACACACACACAAAACAAGUUUUAAAUUCAGUCACAUGAUCUCAUAGGGUCAUGACCCACCAUUUAAGAAACUAUCAUCCGGAUGAGGAUGAAAAGCCAUUUUCUUAUAGUGUAUCUCAUUUUUCUAUCUUAAAGAGAAUUCUGUCCAUGUUAAUCAAACAAACCCUCUGUUUCACAACAGGACAACUUACACAUUAACCUGUCUCACGAGGGACCUAAGAGCCUGUUCUGUGUUCUCUUUUAUAUGUGUGUUUUCCCUUUCUGUAGUUUCUGUUAUCCAUACUCCAAAAAACAUUAGGUGGAAAGGUCCAGAAAUAAACAGUUGAUAAUUAUUAAGCAAAUUUUAUUGCAAUCUACUGUUUAUAGUUGUUUAAUUUCAUGAUUAGUUGUUGUUAAUCCUGUCUGGUGUCUACUGUACAAGAUGAGCUUUAUUUUAAGGAUGUGUGAAGCGGAGAGAACAGUGCGCACACACAGAGGCCUCAGGAGCUCCUGGCUUCUUGCAGCUGCUGGUUUGUUAAAGGAGCCUAUGGGGAUUAGGGAACCCUGAAAACUUCUCUCCCCAUUAUCACUGUGCCCAGCAGCUGCCUGGUUUUGUGAUGGGCUGUUUAGGCAGCAUGGCUACUUAUUUUCCUCUGAAGCACACUUACUUAAAAAGCACACUUCAGGGUUCCUUAAGAAAAGGGGCAGGGGUGGGAGGGGGACAGG
rnacentral:lncRNA from 1 species